rnacentral:rRNA from 1 species
CAGUAGCCGCGGUAAUACGAAGGGUGCAAGCGUUACUCGGAAUUACUGGGCGUAAAGCGUGCGUAGGUGGUGGUUUAAGUCCGUUGUGAAAGCCCUGGGCUCAACCUGGGAAUUGCAGUGGAUACUGGGUCACUAGAGUGUGGUAGAGGAUAGUGGAAUUUCCGGUGUAGCAGUGAAAUGCGUAGAGAUCGGAAGGAACACCUGUGGCGAAGGCGACUAUCUGGGCCAACACUGACACUGAGGCACGAAAGCGUGGGGAGCAAACAGGAUUAGAUACCCCGGUAGUCCCUGUCUCUUAUAC